rnacentral:rRNA from 1 species
UACGUAGGGCGCAAGCGUUGUCCGGAAUUAUUGGGCGUAAAGAGCUCGUAGGCGGCUCAGUAAGUCGGGUGUGAAACCUCCAGGCUCAACCUGGAGACGCCAUCCGAUACUGCUGUGGCUAGAGUCCGGUAGGGGAGCGUGGAAUUCCUGGUGUAGCGGUGAAAUGCGCAGAUAUCAGGAGGAACACCAGCGGCGAAGGCGGCGCUCUGGGCCGGAACUGACGCUGAGGAGCGAAAGCGUGGGGAGCGAACAGG